rnacentral:rRNA from 1 species
AUUGAACGCUGGCGGAAUGCUUUACACAUGCAAGUCGAACGGCAGCACGGACUUCGGUCUGGUGGCGAGUGGCGAACGGGUGAGUAAUGUAUCGGAACGUGCCCAGUCGUGGGGGAUAACGUAGUGAAAAUUACGCUAAUACCGCAUACGAUCUAUGGAUGAAAGCGGGGGAUCGCAAGACCUCGCGCGAUUGGAGCGGCCGAUAUCAGAUUAGGUAGUUGGAGGGGUAAAGGCCCACCAAGCCAACGAUCUGUAGCUGGUCUGAGAGGACGACCAGCCACACGGGAACUGAGACAGGGUCCAGACUCCUACGGGAGGAAGCAGUGGGGAAUUUUGGACAAUGGGCGAAAGCCUGAUCCAGCCAUUCCGCGUGCAGGAUGAAGGCCCUCGGGUUGUAAACUGCUUUUGUACAGAACGAAAAGGUUUCUACUAAUACUAGGAGCUCAUGACGGUACUGUAAGAAUAAGCACCGGCUAACUACGUGCCAGCAGCCGCCGUAA